CAGGUGGCGCUGGGGAGUUACCACGGCGAGCGGCUGGCUGGCUGCAGUGUUUUGGUCAGCACUAGUCAAUCUUGCCCUACACGCUCUAUUAACCAGUGUUUCCGUCUUCCCGACACCUUCUUCCUGCACCAAGCACCGUCAAGCAUCACCAGAGAGGCACGAGUACGUAAGCUAUCCAACAUCAGAACAGUAUAUGAAUAUGGCAAAUGCUGUUUUGACGUCAUUUCCUGCCAUCCUGAGAAGCAGUGAUCUCGAGGAGCAUGAAUUGCAGCUGCAAUGGAAAUUGCGCAUCCAGCGCAAGUUUCAGAAUUCAAGAAAGAGGCAGGAUUCCUCAGUGACUGAGGUGACGUCAAGGAAAAAGAAGAUCCCUUGCAUAGCGCCAAAAGAGACUACGUGUCCACUGAUGUAUGGAGUAAAGGCUUACCUUCCACCAAGGCCCCAUUCAGAAGAUGAUGAGUCAUUAGAGAGACAUACACAGUGGCUUGCUCUACAUUGGAUGAAGAAAGAUCCCGAGUUAGAUAAGAUAAUCAAGGAGUUCCUGAGAUUAGAACCACAAGCGGAUUAACCAGACCCAAGAGUAGCAGUUUUGAAAGGGCUGGAGAAAUAUAGGCUCCCAAUAAUUGCCAUUCUCAAAAAAAGAAAAGCAGUUCCUCUGUAUAUGGAAACCUUACUUGAACUCUAUGACCACGAUGAAAGUCAAUGCGAGUAAUGUCUAG